UUUCCUACGGGAGGCAGCAGUGGGGGAUAUUGGACAAUGGGGGCAACCCUGAUCCAGCGACGCUGCGUGAGUGAUGAAGUAUUUCGGUAUGUAAAGCUCUUUCAGCAGGGAAGAAAGAAAUGACGGUACCUGACCAAGAAGCCCCGGCUAACUACGCGCCAGCAGCCGCGGUAAUACGUAUGUGGCAAGCGUUAUCCGGAAUCACUGGGUGUAAAGGGAGUGUAGACGGC
rnacentral:rRNA from 1 species